GCAGAGUAAGUGUUUGUGCGUCAAGUGCCGGAUGAACGGGGAGUUGUCAUCCGGACGAAGGCUUUGAAGCCGCGGUGCAGGCAUUGCAUCCCGCUGC
rnacentral:ncRNA from 1 species